rnacentral:rRNA from 1 species
GAUGAACGCUGGCGGCGUGCCUAAUACAUGCAAGUCGAGCGAACAGACGAGGAUCUUGUUUCUCUUACGUUAGCGGCGGACGGGUGAGUAACAGGUGGAUAACCGACCUAUAAGAAUGGGAUAACUUAGGGAAACCGGAGAUAAUACCGGAUAAUAUAUUGAACCGCAUGGUUCAUUAGUGAAAGACGGAUUUGAUGUCACUUAUAGAUGGUUCCGGGCCGCAUUAGCUAGUUGGUAAGGUAACGGCUUACCAAGGCAACGAUGCGUAGCCGACCUGAGAGGGUGAUCAGCCACACUGGAACUGAGACACGGUCCAGACUCCUACGGGAGGCAGCAGUAGGGAAUCUUCCGCAAUGGGCGAAAGCCUGACGGAGCAACGCCGCGUGAGUGAUGAAGGUCUUCGGAUCGUAAAACUCUGUUAUUAGGGAAGAACAAAAGUGUAAGUAACUAUGCACGUCUUGACGGUACCUAAUCAGAAAGCCACGGCUAACUACGUG